rnacentral:lncRNA from 1 species
GUCGGGCGUUGGGUUUCGCGGCGCUCGCCGCACUGGUUGUUCAGCACCUUCGGUCCGGUUGAGGUUGUCAAGUCGGACCAAACAGGUUGUUUCUCUGCAGUUUCCAACAUGGCAGGGAGGUUUAAUAGACAUGGAUAAGAAGUCCACUCACAGAAAUCCUGAAGAUGCCAGGGCUGGCAAAUAUGAAGGUAAACACAAACGAAAGAAAAGAAGAAAGCAAAACCAAAACCAGCACCGAUCCCGACAUAGAUCAGUGACGUCUUUUUCUUCAGAUGAUCCUAUGUUUCCUUCUUCCUCAUCAUCGUCUUCAGGAAGCCAGACAGAUUCAAGUAUUGAAGAUGCUGCCAAGGGAAAAAUUAAGAAGAAGAGAAGAGAGAAAACAAAUAAAUGGGAAAAAAGAAAGAGUCUUGUCCUGUUGCUCAGGCUGGAGUGCAAUGAUGCGACCUCGGCUCACUGCAACCUCUGCCUCCCGGAUUCAAGCAAUUCUCCUGCCACAGCCUCCUAAGUAGCUAGGACUACACGCAUGCACCACCACACCUGGCUAAUUUUUGUAUUUUUAGUAGGGACGGGGUUUCACCUGGUUGGCCAGGCUGGUCUCGAACUCCUGACCUCAUGUGAUCCGUCCACUUCAGCGUCCCAAAGUGCUGGGAUUACAGGCAUGAGCCACCGUGCCCUGCCUCUUUUAGUUAUUUUUAAAUGUACAAUAAAUUGUUGUUGACUGUAAUCACCCUGUUGUGCUAUAAAAUACGAAAUCUUAUACAUUCUAGCUAUAUUUUUAUACUCAUUAAUCAUCCUCCUUUCCCCACCUUCAACUACCCUUCUAAGCCUCUGGUAACGAUCGUUCUGGUAUCACCAUGAGUUUAUUUGUUUUCAUUUUUAGCUCCCACAAAUAGGUGACAACAUGUGAAUUUUGUCUUUCUGUGCCUGGCUUUUGUCACUUAACAAUGACCUCCAUUUCCAUCCCUUGUUGCAAGUGACAGCAUCUCAUUUUUUUUUUUUUUUUGGC